rfam:Pelecanus crispus contig113375, whole genome shotgun sequence.
ACUGGGUUAGCUCAGUUGGUUAGAGCGUGGUGCUAAUAACGCCAAGCUCACAGGUUCAAUCCCUGCUCACUGCA